UCAUUACACAUACAAACAUAUGAAGGCUGCACCGCCACAGGCGGCAAGGCUGGAGUAUUUUAUUACCCUUGUCUUUUGCGCACUUGUUGUUUCCUGGGCGGGUUCGCCCGCCUCCAGGACCACAUGAUAAACCUUUUUUAUGCAGUUGCAAUCAGCGUCAGUACAACAAAUGUAAAUCAUUUACAACUUUCAACAACGGAUCUCUUGGUUCUGGCAUCGAUGAAGAACGCAGCGAAAUGCGAUACGUAGUGUGAAUUGCAGAAUUCAGUGAAUCAUCGAAUCUUUGAACGCACAUUGCGCCCUUUGGUAUUCCAAAGGGCAUGCCUGUUCGAGCGUCAUUUGUACCCUCAAGCUUUGCUUGGUGUUGGGCGUUUUUUGUCUUUGGUUUUGUCCAAAGACUCGCCUUAAAACGAUUGGCAGCCGGCCUACUGGUUUCGCAGCGCAGCACAUUUUUGCGCUUGCAAUCAGCAAAAGAGGACGGCACUCCAUCAAGACUCUAUAUCACUUUUGACCUCGGAUCAGGUAGGGAUACCCGCUGAACUUAAGCAUAUCAAUAAGCGGAGGA
rnacentral:rRNA from 1 species